rnacentral:rRNA from 1 species
CCCUUAGAUGUUCUGGGCCGCACGCGCGCUACACUGAUGCAUUCAACGAGUCUAAAACCUGGUCUGAUAGGGCUGGGUAAUCUUUUGAAUGUGCAUCGUGAUUGGGAUAGAUGAUUGCAAUUCUUCAUCUUCAACGAGGAAUGCCUAGUAAACGCAAGUCAUCAGCUUGCAUUGAUUACAUCCCUGCCCUUUGUACACACCGCCCGUCGCUCCUACCGACUGAAUGUUCCGAUGAAUACCAUGGACUGAGAGUAUGAAUGGGUUCGCCUAUUUCUGCUUCUCGGGAAGUGGAGUAAAUCUUAACAUUUAGAGGAAGGAGAAGUCGUAACA